CACACCUCAGCUCUCCUGCUGGACGCCUGCUCUGGUAUUUCUCCAGUGUUCAUCAGUGUGUGGCUGGCAGAGAUCAUCAUACUCAUAUCACUGCUGGUGGGAGGGUAUUACCUCUACAUAAGAAACAAGAGAACACACACUCCAGAUGAGCGUAAGGACCAGGAAGUGGAGCUCUCUCCGACCUCUAUGAGCCGCAGG